rnacentral:rRNA from 1 species
AUUCCUACGGGAGGCAGCAGUGGGGAAUUUUGGACAAUGGGCGCAAGCCUGAUCCAGCAAUGCCGCGUGCAGGAUGAAGGCCUUCGGGUUGUAAACUGCUUUUGUACGGAACGAAAAAGCUCUGGUUAAUACCUGGGGCCCAUGACGGUACCGUAAGAAUAAGCACCGGCUAACUACGUGCCAGCAGCCGCGGUAAUAAU